UGGUGGGUAGUUUGACUGGGGCGGUCUCCUCCCAAAGAGUAACGGAGGAGCACGAAGGUUGGCUAAUCCUGGUCGGACAUCAGGAGGUUAGUGCAAUGGCAUAAGCCAGCUUGACUGCGAGCGUGACGGCGCGAGCAGGUGCGAAAGCAGGUCAUAGUGAUCCGGUGGUUCUGAAUGGAAGGGCCAUCGCUCAACGGAUAAAAGGUACUCCGGGGAUAACAGGCUGAUACCGCCCAAGAGUUCAUAUCGACGGCGGUGUUUGGCACCUCGAUGUCGGCUCAUCACAUCCUGGGGCUGAAGUAGGUCCCAAGGGUAUGGCUGUUCGCCAUUUAAAGUGGUACGCGAGCUGGGUUUAGAACGUCGUGAGACAGUUCGGUCCCUAUCUGCCGUGGGCGCUGGAGAAUUGAGGGGGGCUGCUCCUAGUACGAGAGGACCGGAGUGGACGCAUCACUGGUGUUCGGGUUGUCAUGCCAAUGGCACUGCCCGGUAGCUAAAUGCGGAAGAGAUAAGUGCUGAAAGCAUCUAAGCACGAAACUUGCCCCGAGAUGAGUUCUCCCUGAGACUUUAAGUCUCCUGAAGGAACGUUGAAGACGACGACGUUGAUAGGUCGGGUGUGUAAGCGCAGCGAUGCGUUGAGCUAACCGAUACUAAUGAACCGUGAGGCU
rnacentral:rRNA from 1 species